rnacentral:rRNA from 1 species
ACGUUCCUACGGGACGCAGCAGUGGGGGAUAUUGCACAAUGGGGGAAACCCUGAUGCAGCGACGCCGCGUGAGCGAUGAAGUAUUUCGGUAUGUAAAGCUCUAUCAGCAGGGAAGAAAAUGACGGUGCCUGACUAAGAAGCCCCGGCUAACUACGUGCCAGCAGCCGCGGUAAUACGUAGGGGGCAAGCGUUAUCCGGAUUUACUGGGUGUAAAGGGAGCGUAGACGGCAGUGCAAGUCUGCAGUGAAAGUCAGGGGCUCACCCCUUGGACCGCUUUGGAAACUGUGCUGCUGGAGCGACGGAGG